rnacentral:lncRNA from 1 species
UUCGAUAUGAGGCUUUGGAAAUAGGUUUUGUACCGGGUUCAAGGUCGAUAUAAAAUUAAAUUUCACGCUCUGGGGGUAGGCGAGAAAGUUCUUCAGGAAAUACGCCAAGAAAUUUAUUAACAAUAGAAAUAUCAUUCAAAUCUGACGUAUUUUUGUUUAAAUCUGUGACAUGAGCUAAGAAAGAUUAACAUCCGUUUUUCAAUAAACGAAUAGCUUUAUGGCUUGAGAUGACAGUGAUUGAUUUUAAUGGUUUGGUUGCUUGAAUUCGCAUAAUAGGUAGGUUAGGAAUAUGAAAGCUAACAACCUUACGAAAAUAUUCAAUUUUUGAGUGAUGAGUAGUUAACCAAUCAAUCCCUAGAAUCACAUCAAAUGCAAGUAUUUUCAAUGAAAUAAGAUUGACAGGUAAUGUGAGGGUACCGAUUUGAACCAAACAAGACUUAUAAAUGGUGGAUGUAAUGAAGGUUUCUCCCAACGGAGUUUCCACAGAUAAGUCAAAUUCUAAUUUCUCCGGUGUCAAAUUUAAUCGUUGAACGCAAGUAGGAGAAAUAAAAGAAUGGGUAGAACCGGUAUCAAAUAAGGUAUAGACUUCGCUAGAGUUUAUGAUAAGCUUACCCGUGAUGACCUCGUUCGGGUUCCUUGCUUUCUGGGAGGUCACAACAAACGCUCACCCUUGAACUACUGAUUUUGACUUGUCUGGGACGGUAUUUUGUGUCACCGUUCCAACUGGACUUGUCUUCGGUGCACGACAAAAUUGGGC